GUAGAGGCAUCUGAUGGAAGCUCAAGAAAGAAAUGGAAAACAUGCUUCAACAGUAUGUCAGUUUUCAAAUACGUCUUAAAAUCAUUUAAACACAUAUAAUGACCAACAUCAACCAGCUACAACCCUGAGACCUACAACAGUGACGUGCCUGCAAGAUAUACUGGUACAGUCGUGGCCAUAUUUGUUAUGGGAAGACCCAACCAUCUUUUCAUUGGAUACAAGGCCCAAUCCAUUACAUGGAGCCCAUAUAUGACACUGCUAUAGUAUCUAAGAACCUGAGACUGGUUAGGUAAUGAGCCCAGGGGAAAACCACAUACUAUUGUUACAAAAUGACUCCUAAUAACAUUCCGCUAUACCCAUAGAUCAGUGCUUUGUUCGGCCCUCAUCAGAUACAACAGAACUGACACACACAGAACAUGAACUCACAGAGGCUACAGCAGCAUGCAUAGUUCAAGCCAGACAGAGUCCCAACACUGAGAGGAGGAAGCGGAUGAGAGUCCCACCCCUAACCAAGAAACUAUAACUGGUUCCCACUGGCAAAGGGGAUGGAUCAGCAGCCAUGCCAUAACAACACUGAUGAAAACUACAGAGACUCACUGACUUGGAACUGAGGCCUCCUGAAAAUAGCCAUGUGCUGUGGCUCCGGUUGACUCUCCUCGGUGAGUACAACAGCCUGGAGGACAUAGCAUUGCAGCUAACUUAUCUGAGAAUGAAAAGUGAGACCAGAGUUCCUGGAAAUGAAACCUAGGACCUGACACGGAGCAAGACCAAAGCUUUGCUGGCUGAGAAAAGGCACACUUGAAGACAGUUUCCAAGUACUUCUACAAGUUCAAUAUGGGCUAUUAAAGUGAAAGAUGUUGCACAUGAAACAACUGCAUCCUUGAGCUAUGCUCGGUGUUGGUGGCUUUCCUUGAGGCUUGGGGCCUCAAGACUUCAUCAGCCACUCUGCAACACCCCAUGUGAACUCUUAGCAACAUGCAGUAUUUUGACAUCAGCCUGCUUGAGCUCCUUGAUCCUGAAACACUCUGUUCAUCAGUGUGUCCUCUUGCCAUUUUCAGAUAUUGGGUUACAGUCAACUGUAGGGUACACCUGUAGCCAGCCCCUAAACAGGCACGGCUACAGCAUCCCCUGCAGUCAACAUUUCAGGCUAUUGGCCUCUCAUUUGGUCUCUGAUUUCCUGUCUUUUUUCAGCAUUUCCCACAAACUCAGCUCACAGACAACUUUGACUUUUAGAGAACUAACAGAG
rnacentral:lncRNA from 1 species